UGCCUGCCCAGUGAAUAUUAAACGGCCGCGGUAUUUUGACCGUGCAAAGGUAGCGCAAUCACUUGCCCCCUAAUUAGGGGCCUGUAUGAAUGGCUAGACGAAGGCCCAACUGUCUCCCUUUUCAAAUCAGUUAAAUUGAUCUACCUGUGCAGAAGCAGGUAUCCACCUACAAGACGAGAAGACCCUUUGGAGCUUAAGAUUAAAGUCAAUUACAUCAAUAAGUUAUACUUAAACUAAGUAAUACUGACCCGCAUCUUCGGUUGGGGCGACCGCGGGGGAAAACCAAGCCCCCAUGAAGAAAGAUAAACCCUUCUAAACCCAGAAAGACAUUUCUAAGUCACAGAACAUCUGACUAAAAGAUCCGUUUUUAUACGACCAGCGAACCAAGUUACCCAAGGGAUAACAGCGCAAUCCCCUUCCAGAGUCCCUAUCGACAAGGGGGUUUACGACCUCGAUGUUGGAUCAGGACAUCCUAAUGGUGUAGCAGCUAUUAA
rnacentral:rRNA from 1 species